AUGAACGCUGGCGGUAUGCUUACACAUGCAAGUCGAACGGUCACUUCGGUGAUAGUGGGCGGACGGGUGAGUAACGCGUGAGAAUCUGGCUCUAGGUCUGGGACAACAGUUGGAAACGACUGCUAAUACCGGAUGUGCCCGAAAGGUGAAAGGCUUGCUGCCUAGAGAUGAGCUCGCGUCUGAUUAGCUAGUUGGUGGUGUAAGGGACUACCAAGGCGACGAUCAGUAGCUGGUCUGAGAGGACGAUCAGCCACACUGGGACUGAGACACGGCCCAGACUCCUACGGGAGGCAGCAGUGGGGAAUUUUCCGCAAUGGGCGAAAGCCUGACGGAGCAAUACCGCGUGAGGGAGGAAGGCUCUUGGGUUGUAAACCUCUUUUCUCAGGGAAUAACAAAAUGAAGGUACCUGAGGAAUCAGCAUCGGCUAACUCCGUGCCAGCAGCCGCGGUAAUACGGAGGAUGCAAGCGUUAUCCGGAAUGAUUGGGCGUAAAGCGUCCGCAGGUGGCAUUGUAAGUCUGCUGUUAAAGAGUGAGGCUUAACCUCAUAAAAGCAGUGGAAACUACAAAGCUAGAGUGCGUUCGGGGCAGAAGGAAUUCCUGGUGUAGCGGUGAAAUGCGUAGAGAUCAGGAAGAACACCGGUGGCGAAGGCGUUCUGCUAGGCCGCAACUGACACUGAGGGACGAAAGCUAGGGGAGCGAAUGGGAUUAGAUACCCCAGUAGUCCAUAGCCGUAAACGAUGGAUACUAGGCGUUGCGAGUAUCGACCCCUCGCAGUGCCGGAGCCAACGCGUUAAGUAUCCCGCCCUGGGGAGUACGCACGCAAGUGUGAAACUCAAAGGAAUUGACGGGGGCCCGCACAAGCGGUGGAGUAUGUGGUUUAAUUCGAUGCAACGCGAAGAACCUUACCAAGACUUGACAUGUCGCGAAUCUUUGGGAAACUAAAGAGUGCCUUCGGGAGCGCGAACACAGGUGGUGCAUGGCUGUCGUCAGCUCGUGUCGUGAGGAUGUUGGGUUAAGUCCCGCAACGAGCGCAACCCUCGUUUUUAGUUGCCAGCAUUCAGUUUGGGCACUCUAGAGAGACUGCCGGUGACAAACCGGAGGAAGGUGGGGAUGACGUCAAGUCAGCAUGCCCUUACGUCUUGGGCUACACACGUACUACAAUGCUACGGACAGAGGGCAGCAAGCUAGCGAUAGCAAGCAAAUCCCGUAAACCGUAGCUCAGUUCAGAUCGCAGGCUGCAACUCGCCUGCGUGAAGGAGGAAUCGCUAGUAAUUGCAGGUCAGCAUACUGCAGUGAAUUCGUUCCCGGGCCUGUACACACAGCCGUCACACCAUGGAAGCUGGUCACGCCCGAAGUCAUUACCCCAACUUUUCGGAGAGGGGGAUGCCUAAGGUAGGACUGGUGACUGGGGUG
rnacentral:rRNA from 1 species